AGUACGCUCGAGGGUUACCGCGGCUGCUGGCACGGAGUUAGCCGGUGCUUCUUCUGUGAGUGAUGUCCUUCCUGCCGGCUAUUAACCCGCAGGCCUUCUUCCUCACUGAAAGUGCUUUACAACCCGAAGGCCUUCUUCACACACGCGGCAUGGCUGGAUCAGGGUUGCCCCCAUUGUCCAAUAUUCCCCACUGCUGCCUCCCGUAGGAGUCUGGGCCGUGUCUCAGUCCCAGUGUGGCUGAUCAUCCUCUCAGACCAGCUACGGAUCGUCGCCUUGGUGAGCCGUUACCUCACCAACCAGCUAAUCCGACAUAGGCUCAUCCGAUAGCGCGAGGCCCGAAGGUCCCCCGCUUUCCCCCGUAGGGCGUAUGCGGUAUUAGCCUGGGUUUCCCCAGGUUAUCCCCCACUACCGGGCAGAUUCCUAUGCAUUACUCACCCAUCCGCCACUCUCACGGGGCCGAAGCCCCGAUCCCGUCCGACUUGCAUGUGUUAAGCCUGUAGCUAGCGUUCAUCCUGAGCCAUAAUCAAAC
rnacentral:rRNA from 1 species